GGAAAGAAAUACAGAGAGCCAAGGAAAAGGAAUUGAAUUUCAACUUCUCCUACAUCAUCAUCAUUUGCAAACUGUACAAAGAAGACGCCACUGAGAAGAAGAAAAAGAAGAAGGGCAAGAAGAAGAACGCUGAGCCCGAAAUUAUAUUGACCAAUCCGAGGAAGAACUGUUUGAUCAGGAGGCAGAUUGCCGCUUCGAGUUCAGUGUUCGAAACGAGAGCGACUCUGCGCUGAGUGGAGACUGGAUGGAGGACGACAGAGUGCUCAAGCCAUAUCGGCGAGUGCUUGUCAUAUCGGCCGACAAACUCGAGAGAAUCAUCGACAAAAUCAAAGACUUUGUCUCGCCCACCAAAUAAACACAGUGCAAUUCUA